CAACAGCGUAUAUUAAAGUUGUUGCGGUUAAAAAGCUCGUAGUUGGAUCUCGGCAGGCAGGGGGUGGUUCGCUCUUAGCGCUACUGCCCCAUUUGCCUGUGUGAUUGGCGGAGGUUUCGGGGUGCUCUUCGUUGAGUGACCCGGGGCGCCGUCAGGUUUACUUUGAAAAAAUUAGAGUGCUCAAAGCAGGCUUUUCACGCUUGAAUAUUCGUGCAUGGAAUAAUGGAAUAGGAACUCGUUUCUACUUUGUUGGUUUUCGGAAAUCGAGUUAAUGAUUAAUAGGGACAAUUGGGGGCAUUAGUAUUCAGACGACAGAGGUGAAAUUCUUGGACCGUCUGAAGACUAACUACUGCGAAAGCAUUUGCCAAGAGUGUUUUCAUUAA
rnacentral:rRNA from 1 species